rnacentral:rRNA from 1 species
UGCACAAUGGGCGCAAGCCUGCUGCAGCGACGCCGCGUGUGGGAUGAAGGGGCUACGCCUCGUAAACCACCGUAGCCCGGGCCGAAAAACGCCUUACGGGCGUUAGACGGUACCGGGAAAGUAAGGGUCGGCUAACUACGUGCCAGCAGCCGCGGUAAUAGGUAGGACGCUAGCGUUGUCCGGAUUUACUGGGUGUCAAGGGUGCGCAGGCGGGUGGGUAAGUCAGGGGUGAAAGUCUGCAGCGUAACUGUAGAAUUGCCUAUGCAACGGCGCAUCUUGAGUGUGUGAGAUGGUGAUGGAAUUCCAGGUGUAGCACGGAGAUGCGUAGAUAGCUGGAAUAACACCAGUGGCGAAGGCGGUCAACUGGCCCAUAACUGACGCUCAUGCA